AUCAAACGUAAUAGUAUAUUAUGAGGAAAAAAGUGUUAAAAAAUCAUAGUAUAGUAUGUCGACAAAAAUCAUAGUAUAGUAUGUC